rnacentral:lncRNA from 1 species
CUGCGGAGGCAAAUGGAAGAAAGAGCCCAACAGGUGGAAUCAUAUUAGAGAGUCUUGAACGCCAAGAUGAAGCAAGCUUUUCAUUCGAGGGUAUAUGAAGACUCAGGCCCCACCCAUGGAGGGUAGAACACACAUUUGCUGAAGACUUUAUGUGCUGGGCUGACUCAACUGGGCUGGAUUCCAGGCCCAUCACUGACUAUGCUUCUGUCAUUUCAACGGAGAGAAGAGGAAAUGAGGAUAAGUUCCAGAGGGAUGCAAGGGUGAAGUGCACUCACAAAGCCAGCUGCCACAUAGUGAGAUGGUCUUUGGAGAGGCCCAAGUAGCAGCAAUCAACCAUCAACAAACAGAAGCCCUCAGUCCCACAAUCCGAAAAGAAUUGAAUUAUGCAAACAACCACAAGAAUGAGCUUGGAAGCAGAUUCACCCCAGAAGGACCUGGAGAAGAGUUGACUGUAGCCUCCGAGAGAUCCGAGCCAGAGACCUGCUAAGCCACGCCCCCAUUCCUGACCCACAGAAACCAGGAUAAUAAAUGUGUGUUGUUUUAAGUCUCUAAGUUUUGGGGUAAUUUGUUAGAUAGCAAUAGACAACUAACAGUCUCCAAUAUUUAAUGCCAGUUAUUUACUGUGUUGGGUCGUGGGGACAUUAAGGUGUUCUUUUAGCCUUCAAGGGGUACCUAGUCUGGUGAGGUAAGGCAGACAUGUGUGAUUGUGUUACUGUGUGUAUUGGGUCAUUGGGUGGGCUGGAGAGGGGACUGCCUAUCUUACACAGCCUGGAGGUGUCAGGGCAGGCUUUUUGGGGAGGUGUCACUCACAAAGCAGAAUUUUGAAAGGUGAGUAAGAGCUUGCCAGUUGCUAUAGUUUGAAUGUCUGUUCCAAAACUCAUGUCGAACUAUAAUUGCCAUUAUGACAGUAUCAAGAGGUGAUUAGGUGACUGGAUUACUGCAAUUAUCAGGAAGUGGGUUCUUGAUAAAAGUGAGUUCAACCCCCUCUUGUCCUUGCUCACGUUUACUUUCUCUUACCCUUCCACCUUCUGCCAUGGGAUGACAUAGCACGAAGGCCCACAUCGGAGGCUGAUGCCAUUCUUUUGGACUUCCCAGCCUCCAGAACCAUGAAUCAAAUGAACAGUUGUUUAGAAAUUAACCUGUCUCUGUUACAGCAACACUAAUCAGCCUAAGAUACCAGGUGAAGAAGGCAGAGAAGCAGUGAGGAGGGAAGGAGGAGAACACAGAUUUUCUCCCUCUCCUCAGUGGAUUUGGGAAGUUGUUUUAAGACUGCAUCCUUGGCAAGAGGGUACUCCGCAGCUAUGUGCUUGACGCAAGAGUGAGUGAUUCAUCCCACCACAUCUCAAAAGUCUGUGAGUCAGCCAGUUCUUCCUGGGCUCAGA